AGAUAAUAGAUACCCGGGUAGUCCUGGCCGUAAACGAUGUCGACUAGAUCGCAGUUCCUUUGACGGAAAUUGUGGUCGAAAGCAAAAAAAGUGCUAAGUCGACCGCCUGGGAAGUACGGUCGCAAGGCUAAAACUCAAAGAAAUUGACGGGGGCUCACACAAGCGGUGGAGCAUGUGGUUCAAUUCGAAGCAACGCGCAGAACCUUACCUGGGCUUGACAUGCUAGGAUUAUCUCGGUGAAAGUCGAGUAGGCCCCGCAAGGGGUACAACUAGUACAGGUGCUGCAUGGCUGUCGUCAGCUCGUGUCGUGAGAUGUCGGGUUUAAGUCCCUUAACGAGCGAAACCUUUGCCCUUAGUUACCAGCGGGUUUAUGCCGGGGGUACUCUAAGGGGGUACUGCCGGUGUCAAACCGGAGGAAGGUGGAGAUGACGUCAAGUCCUCAUGGCCUUUAUGCCCAGGGCCACACACGUGCUACAAUGGGAUGCACAAAGCGAACCCAAGACCGCAAGGUGGUGGAAAUCGCAGAAAUCAUCCCCCGAGUUCAG
rnacentral:rRNA from 1 species